UGGCGGCCGUAGCGCGGUGGUCCCACCUGACCCCAUGCCGAACUCAGAAGUGAAACGCCGUAGCGCCGAUGGUAGUGUGGGGUCUCCCCAUGUGAGAGUAGGGAACUGCCAGGCA
rnacentral:rRNA from 2 species